rnacentral:rRNA from 1 species
GACGAACGCUGACGGCGUGCUUAACACAUGCAAGUCGAACGGUAAGGCCCUUCGGGGUACACGAGUGGCGAACGGGUGAGUAACACGUGGGUGAUCUGCCCUGCACUUCGGGAUAAGCCUGGGAAACUGGGUCUAAUACCGGAUAGGACCACUGCCUGCAUGGGUGGUGGUGGAAAGCUUUUGCGGUGUGGGAUGGGCCCGCGGCCUAUCAGCUUGUUGGUGGGGUGAUGGCCUACCAAGGCGACGACGGGUAGCCGGCCUGAGAGGGUGACCGGCCACACUGGGACUAAGAUACGGCCCAGACUCCUACGGGAGGCAGCAGUGGGGAAUAUUGCACAAUGGGCGCAAGCCUGAUGCAGCGACGCCGCGUGAGGGAUGACGGCCUUCGGGUUGUAAACCUCUUACAGCACCGACGAAGCGCAAGUGACGGUAGGUGCAGAAGAAGGACCGGCCAACUACGUGCCAGCCGCCGCAGUAA